rnacentral:lncRNA from 1 species
CACUACUGUAACUAGAUUGACAACUUGAAUCUUCUUUUAAAACCCACUCUCAAAAUUCACAAUUUUGACUGCAGUAAAGGAAUAAUUACCCUUUAUUGUCAUUCUCCUUCUCCACUACUAAACAUUUCUCAAAUCCAUGCUUAAAUCGUGUGUAAGGGUGAUUUCUUUGCAUUCGGCAAACAAAUUGUCUUUAGCCUAUAACUAUAGUAGAUUCCCAAGUUUUUUGGGAAUUCUACGAUGGGAAUAAAAGAUAGACAAUGUAUGUGAAUUGAGUCAUUUUACCAAUUCAAAUGUGCAAAAAAUAAUAGAUGAGCAGAGUAAAUAAAUGGGAAUCAAUUUACUUAAAUGUGUUCGUAUUGAUUUCGCUGGAAGCAAGGUGAGGAGAUGUCGACGAAGUAGCUGGGUCCAAUUGUCUAACAAUGAUGGGAGAUUGUGGGUUGUGCGAGGGUGAAACCUUUGGUGAUAGUGGGCAUGACGAGCCGAGAUGGAAGGAAUAGGGAUUUUGGUUCUUCGAUUUUUAGGGUUUCAAAUGUAGGAGAUACACACUCUCUUUUUUUACCCAAUAUUAAUAGAAUACCAUUAUUCAAAUUACUGCCCUUAAAAAUCCUUCACUAUCUUCUUUUCUUCUUCCUCUAACCAGUCACUUAUUAACACAUGUACAUACUUUUCUAAUAAGACAACAAUGCAAUCGAAAAUUUUUCUCUAUAAAGCCCAUGUUUGGGCUCCAUUAAAAGUUUGAUGCAAUUUAUUCUUUUUCUUUUCAAUCACACAUUCUUCAAUAAAAUGAUAUUAUAUGUAAAUUCAAAAAUUUUCGUUCUUUUUUUUUCACACAUUUUCUUAAAG